UACGAAGGGGGCUAGCGUUGCUCGGAAUCACUGGGCGUAAAGCGCACGUAGGCGGCUUUCUAAGUCAGGGGUGAAAUCCUGGAGCUCAACUCCAGAACUGCCUUUGAUACUGGUGAGCUUGAGUCCGGAAGAGGUGAGUGGAACUGCGAGUGUAGAGGUGAAAUUCGUAGAUAUUCGCAAGAACACCAGUGGCGAAGGCGGCUCACUGGCCCGGUACUGACGCUGAGGUGCGAAAGCGUGGGGAGCAAACAGG
rnacentral:rRNA from 1 species